UACGUAGGGUGCAAGCGUUGUCCGGAAUUAUUGGGCGUAAAGAGCUCGUAGGCGGUCUGUUGCGUCGGCUGUGAAAACCCGGGGCUCAACUCCGGGCCUGCAGCCGAUACGGGCAGACUAGAGUUCGGCAGGGGAGAGUGGAAUUCCUGGUGUAGCGGUGAAAUGCGCAGAUAUCAGGAGGAACACCGGUGGCGAAGGCGGUGGUCUGGGCCGGAACUGACGCUGAGGAGCGAAAGCGUGGGGAGCAAACAGG
rnacentral:rRNA from 1 species